GAUGAACGCUGGCGGCGUGCCUAAUACAUGCAAGUCGAGCGGACGGACGCGGAGCUUGCGGCUCGGAUGUUAGGGGAGGACGGGUGAGUAACACGUGGAUACCCUCCCUAUAAGACGGAGAUAACUUCGGGAAACCGGCGCUAAUACCGGAUAAUAUUUUGAACCGCAGGGUGCAAAGGUGAAAGACGGUCUUGCGGUCACUAAUCGAUGGAUACGCGCUGCAUUAGCUAGUUGGUACGGUAACGGCUUACCAAGGCAACGAUGCAUAGCCGAACUGUGAGGGUGAUCGGCCACACUGGAACUGAGACGCGCUCCUGGCUCCUACGGGAGGCAGCAGUCGGGAAUGUGACGCAAUGGUCGAAAGCCUGACGGAGUAACGCCGCGUGUGUGAUGAAGGUCCUCGGAUCGUAAAACUCUGUUACUAGUGAAGAACAGAUGUGUAAUGUACUGUGCACAGCUUGACGGUACCGAGUCAGAAAGCCACGGCUAACUACGUG
rnacentral:rRNA from 1 species